UAAAGUUUUAGUAUAGUAGGGUAUAUUUCGUUGUCGAUGAGAAGGGUGAAGCUUUGA
rnacentral:tRNA from 1 species